AUACGGAGGAUCCAAGCGUUAUCCGGAUUUAUUGGGUUUAAAGGGUGCGCAGGCGGCCUUAUAAGUCAGUGGUGAAAUCUCCCGGCUCAACCGGGAAACUGCCAUUGAUACUGUAAGGCUAGAAUACAGACGAGGUAGGCGGAAUGUAGCAUGUAGCGGUGAAAUGCUUAGAUAUGCUACAGAACACCGAUCGCGAAGGCAGCUUACCAGACUGUAAUUGACGCUAAGGCACGAAAGCGUGGGGAGCGAACAGGAUUAGAUACCCUAGUAGUCC
rnacentral:rRNA from 1 species